rnacentral:lncRNA from 1 species
UCACACGGUCACCAGGCAUAACCAUUUUCGACUCUUCAUCCUUCUCAUUCUUAAUAGUAGUCACUUUCCCAGUGACAUCUGUAGUUCUCAUGUAAAACUGAGGCCUGUAUCCAGUGAAAAAAGGUGAAUGCCUCCCACCUUCAUCCUUCUUCAAAAUAUAUACAAUCGCCUCAAACUUUGUAUGAGGUGUAAUCGAUCCAGGCUUAGCCAAAACCAUCCCUCUCUGGAUAUCAAUCUUCUGAAUACCUCUUAACAACAACCCGACAUUAUCACCAGCCAAAGCCUCAUCAAGAAACUUCUGAAACAUUUCAACUCCAGUCACUGUUGUACCCCUAGUAUCCUUCAACCCCACAAUAUCAACGGUCUCCCCAACCUUAAUCGUCCCUCUCUCAACACGACCAGUGGCAACAGUCCCACGUCCCGUGAUCGAAAAAACAUCCUCAAUUGCCAUUAAGAAGGGCAACUCAGUCUGCCUCUGUGGAAUAGGAAUAUAACUAUCAACAUUAUCCAUCAAAGCAUAAAUCUUGUCAACCCACUCAUUGUCCCCUCUCUUAAUCGCGGGAUUCUCCAUCAGUGCUUCCAAUGCCAACAAUGCUGAUCCUGACACAAUUGGAAUAUCAUCCCCUGGAAACUCAUACUUAUUCAAUUCCUCCCUAACCUCCAACUCCACAAGCUCCAAAAGCUCGGCAUCAUCAACCUGAUCCUCUUUAUUCAAGAAAACAACCAUAUUCGGAACCCCCACUUGUUUCGCCAACAAAAUGUGUUCUUUAGUCUGUGGCAUUGGCCCAUCAGCACCCGAAACCACUAAAAUCGCUCCGUCCAUCUGCGCAGCCCCUGUAAUCAUAUUCUUGACAUAAUCAGCAUGCCCUGGACAAUCCACAUGAGCAUAAUGCCUACUCUCAGUCUCAUACUCAACAGUAGCUGUAUUAAUAGUAAUCCCACGCGCUCUCUCCUCAGGAGCAGCAUCAAUUUCAUCGUACUUCUUGGGUGCAGACCCUCCCAUAGCAGCAAGCGCCAUGGUCAACGCAGCAGUCAGAGUGGUUUUCCCAUGGUCAACGUGCCCAAUUGUGCCUAUAUUGAUAUGGGGUUUCUUCCUUUCGAAUUUCCCACGCGCUGCGCGUACGGUCAGCCUGGUGGCGCGUGAGCGAAACGGGGAGGUGGGUGUUUGAAAUUGGGAGGACAACGUUGAUGGGUUGGCGAGAAAAGAGGAGGUGAGGAUAAAUUUCCGUGAACUUGUCGGAGAAAAGGCGGAAUUAGGGUUAGGGUUUGCAGGGUUUAUGAGGUUUAUAGAAGAAGAUAGAGCUGAAAUCGCCAUUUUUGCUUCCAGCAAACAAGAGGGGUUUGGAGAAUUUUGGGAGAGAUGAGAUAAUAACAAGGAGAUUGUGUGUUUUGUGUGAGUGUGUGUUCUCCUUUAUCUAUCUACAACACAACAUUUUGUAUCUAUAGUCUGUAGAGAUACAAUUUCUAACCUCAUAUCUCACCCUAUCCACUUUCACAAUUUCAAGAUAACAUUUUCAUUUUUACUGUUUUUCUAAAAUUAAAUAAAUAAAUUACAAAAAAAAAAUAAACAAACAAGAGAUUUGGGAAGAGUUUGCUAUGUGUUCAGAGUGAAUUUAUGGUUUGUAGAAAUUUUCAUUAUAAAUAUUUAUUUUUCUACUCCAAGUGUUCAUGAAAGGCACUAGUUGAUUUCUAAAUGCUUUGGUUUUUUAAGUUGUUUGUGACAUGUUCUUUGAUGUUUCAGUUUUGCUAAAUCUCUGGCUCUCUUGGAAAUUUUUGUGGUUGUUGAAGUGCAUUUGUGUCGCUCUGUAAACUACAUGCUACUCCAACCAACAAGUGAAAUUAUAUCUGAUAAAGCCAUCAAAUCCCAAAAAUAAAUUUUUUGUAAUCAAUACUUCUGCAGAGAAUAUUGGAUACAACUUGAUAUAACUCUAUAAAGCUCGUAUUGAUUCAUUUAAAUAAGAUCAUGGUGCAGAUAAUGACAUUAUUGUGAGCCGGUGAACCAUUUCAUAGCAAUCUGCCUUGCCACCCGAAAGACUGAAUCCAGUUCUGUACCUCCUGGAGGCACACAUCUAACUUGUUCUUAAGCGGAUUCAGUCUAUCCCUAAGAUAGUAGAGUUUAGCCCUCCUCACUUUCUUCUUGUCCAGCACCUUUAUCUCCUUUAUAUUAGGCGAAUACCUGCACCAGACACCCUAUUUGGUCACCAAGUGCAGGAAUGUCAAAGAAAAGAUGUAAUCAAAGCACAGAACCAAAAUCCUUAAGUGCUUUUAAUUAUUAUGUGAACAGGUUCACAUAAUCAAGCAAAAGACUUGCAGCAACAAGCAUGUCCAAGUAAAUAUACAAUCAGUAAUGUAUUAAUCUUUGAAGGUGAGAGGCCAUAUCUAACUUUGUAAAUUGAAUUGUACAUCAAGUAUAUUUAAACAGAACAGCUAGUACUUGGUAACUAGAAGACUAUCACUUUCAAAAAACUGGUACACCUCAUGAUAUAUGUUACAGUUCAUCGAGUUCUUUUGUAACCAACUCUUAACAUGACAAUAUCACUAAGUUCUGUCAAUUCACAAGAUACGAUGAAAGGCAAGAAGAGUAGUUGCAUUGUAGAUGCUGUAAGAUGAUAAAUUAAUUCAAGGGUCACAGAAUAGUCUCGCUUAGCAGCAAUUCGCCAUAUUUCAUUUGUUAUUACUAUUACAUAUACACCACCAGAGUUGAGCAUGAGCAAGUAAGAAUUUUAACACUGAGAGGAGAAAAAACGUAUUUCAGUGGACUAAAGCUAAUAAAUAUUCAUAGAGAGAAGUUCUGCAUGAGUAGGUUUCACCUUAUAAGAACUCUCGCAAACCAUUAUAUUGUGUUUGGUUGGAUAAUUUGGAAUGGACUGGAUGAUGGAUUGAAUUAAAGGGAAGUAAUGGAGGAAGGACGCAAGAUUUGAAAAUAAGAUAAUUCACUGUUAUGAGAUUUGGGAAGAGAACAGGGAUGAGGGAAACAGCUUCCAGAUAGACUGAAAACUUUUGCAACCUUUUGAAAAGCAUUUAUAUUAACUAAAUAACUAAUAGCACUGAAGAAGCCAUCUGCAGUAUAACAGAAUUCAUAUACACCACUUACCUAGACACACAGAGCAACUCAAGUCAUCGAAAAUAAUACAAGAAAGUCCGCGGCAGCCCCAGAAAAGCAGACAAGCAUACUGUAUUUUCAUAAUAUAGCCAGCCAUUAUAAAGUCAUCCAUGUAUAGAUUAUACAGCUGAACAGAAUCCCACAAUAACAAAGAAGGGCAUGUAUAUCAUUAUUUGUGAGCAAAUUGCAAUGAAACUGUGACAUCCAAAAUAUUUCAGUAACAGUUAUGCAUACAAAUUAUUAGUUAAUUCUUGCUGAAGUUGAGAUUGGAUACCAUGGACCCAUGAUCAAAACAGAAGUAACAAUAAGUAGACAGAUUUCUAUGAGGCAAAUCACAAUGUGAAGUAGUACAGAUAAUCAUUAAAUGCCAUUUGCAGUUGCAGAUAUACCGGUGACUUGUUGAAUAUGUAGCUAAGCAAGUGAUUUUAUGUUCAAUACACUCCUGAUCUAUAACUUCUCCACGGAGAAUAGUUGUAGAACUACAUAACUUUUAAGAGAGCAGCAUCAGCAUCUCAAGUAGAGCCGGCCAAACGGGCGGGCCGUGCCGGUUCGGGCCGGUUCAAACGGGUUCCGAACCGUCAUCGGUGGAACCGUAACCGGCCCGUCAAACUGGCGGUCCGUGCCGUGCCCGGGCCGGGCUGGGAAAAAGAAAGUCGUAACCGUGAUAUACGGUUUACACGGGUUUUGCGGUUCAGCGGUUCGGGCCGAAUAAUAACAUGCUGCGGUUCUACGGUUCGGUUAUACGGUUCACGGGUUUGCGCAUGUGACUUUGUGUUAGUAACUAAAGUACAACAGUUGUCAGUGGCUGAAUCACUGUCAAGUCCAACAGAGACACAUAGUACUUGUUUUAUUUUUUGUUUCUUUUUUGUUUUUUUUGCCGGUUUAUUUUUGUUUUUAUUUUUUUUAAUUUAGUUUAAGUAUUAUUAUGUAACUAAUUAAGAGAUCGUAAAUUUAUGGAUUAAGUAUUAUUAUGCAACUAAUUAAUAAAUUAAUGGGUUAAGUAUUAUUAUGUAACUAAUUUUAACAAUUCUUUAAUGUUAAAAAUUGGAUAAUAAAGUUUUAUAUGAUAUUAGUUUUGGAAAUUAUUUUUGUUUAGUGUUAUUAUGUAAUUAAUUAUCAAUAAAGUGUAAACUAAUAAAUAAUUACCUAAUUUUAAAAACUUAUCCGAAAUAAAACUAAUUAAAUUAUUUUUAAAAAUAAAAUUACCUAAAUUUAAAAACUGCACCGAAACAAAAUUAAUUAAUUCUUUUGCAAAUAAAAUUACUGAAAUUUAAAAACUAAAACGACACGAAAUAAAAUUAAGUAAUUUUUUUAUAUAGUAAACGAAAAUAAACUAAACUAACUAAACAACAACUAAAAUUAACAAAAUAAAACAAAAACUAACAAAUUAAAACUCAUGCAAAAAGAACAGAAAGCAUUGUGAAGUUUGCUGAUGGACUAAAAAUUGGUGGUCGAUGCACGAGUCUACGGUUCCGCGGUUCCGCGGUUCAAACCGCGGUUCCGCGGUUCAAACCAGGCCGGUUCCACGGGUUUCCGCGGUUCCGGGCCGGUUACGGUUCGGUCUUCCAUUUCCUAACCCGUAUUCGGCACGUGCUCAGUAUCGGUUCAGGUCGGUUUUGAACCGGCCCGUGUUUAGACGGUUACGGGCGGUUAAAAAGUCGGUUCGGGGCGUGCCGGUUCGGUCGGUUCGGCCCGUUUGGCCACCUCUAAUCUCAAGUAGCUAAGCAACAUUAAUAAGGGUGACACUAAGAAAGAAAGUCAAAACAAAUUAAUUUGAACAUGAGAUAGUACAAUCCAACUAAAAGGAGAGCUAAGAAAUUUAGAACCAAACUCGUUGCUGCAUAUGUAACAUUGGAUUCAGCAUGUUUAAGAGACAAGGGGCAAAACUAUUUUAAAAAAGAAAAAAGACAAAAGAUUGAAACUUUGAAUCACCCAAAAGUGAAGGCCAUCCCACCAAGUUCAAUCACUCAAUAAUGGCAUUAAUAACUCCAGCACCAACAGUCUUUCCUCCUUCUCUAAUAGCAAACCUCAUUCCUUGCUCACAAGCAAUCGGCACAAUAAGCUCCACAACCAUCUUCACACGGUCACCAGGCAUAACCAUUUUCGACUCUUCAUCCUUCUCAUUCUUAAUAGUAGUCACUUUCCCAGUGACAUCUGUAGUUCUCAUGUAAAACUGAGGCCUGUAUCCAGUGAAAAAAGGUGAAUGCCUCCCACCUUCAUCCUUCUUCAAAAUAUAUACAAUCGCCUCAAACUUUGUAUGAGGUGUAAUCGAUCCAGGCUUAGCCAAAACCAUCCCUCUCUGGAUAUCAAUCUUCUGAAUACCUCUUAACAACAACCCGACAUUAUCACCAGCCAAAGCCUCAUCAAGAAACUUCUGAAACAUUUCAACUCCAGUCACUGUUGUACCCCUAGUAUCCUUCAACCCCACAAUAUCAACGGUCUCCCCAACCUUAAUCGUCCCUCUCUCAACACGACCAGUGGCAACAGUCCCACGUCCCGUGAUCGAAAAAACAUCCUCAAUUGCCAUUAAGAAGGGCAACUCAGUCUGCCUCUGUGGAAUAGGAAUAUAACUAUCAACAUUAUCCAUCAAAGCAUAAAUCUUGUCAACCCACUCAUUGUCCCCUCUCUUAAUCGCGGGAUUCUCCAUCAGUGCUUCCAAUGCCAACAAUGCUGAUCCUGACACAAUUGG